rnacentral:rRNA from 1 species
CUGGGCGUAAGCGCGCGUAGGUGGUUUGUUAAGUUGGAUGUGAAAGCCCCGGGCUCAACCUGGGAACUGCAUCCAAAACUGGCAAGCUAGAGUAGGGCAGAGGGUGGUGGAAUUUCCUGUGUAGCGGUGAAAUGCGUAGAUAUAGGAAGGAACACCAGUGGCGAAGGCGACCACCUGGGCUCAUACUGACACUGAGGUGCGAAAGCGUGGGGAGCAAACAGGAUUAGAAACCCUNGUAGUC